rnacentral:rRNA from 1 species
CAAAAACAUAGCCCGGUGAAAAUGUGCCUGGUGAUACCUGCUCAGUGGCCUUCGAGUAAAUACGACUAAAAGUAGGAUCGUAGAAGUAGGUUAAACAGCCGGGGAAAACCUAAACCCUGCUAAGUAAGCAUAAUCGGAUACCGUUUGAUUGGCGGGGAGUUGAAUGGAAGAACGAGCGCGAAACUGUCUUAGAAUCAGGUCUAAUGAAAUAAGCAUGCCGGUGAAGAGACCGUCAAGUUUAGCUAGACGAGAAGACCCCGUGAAGCUUAACUCUAAGGUCGUUGAGCAUAGAGGAGUUUGAAUGGGUUUCAUUAUCCUUUUUCUUAGGUAAAAAUUUACCCUAGGCACUCAAAGCUUAGCAGCCACCUAGUGAGUUUGGGUGGGGCGCCCGCAAGUGAAAAUUAUCAUUGAGUUACCACACAGGUCAGAAUAAAACUAGUGUAGUAUACCUACUUACACAGGGACAAAAAUCGGGAAAACGACCAGGAUUAAAUUCAGUAAAAUUUCUCCUACACAGGAUAAUAGCUACUCCGGGGAUAACAGAGUAAUGAUCCCCUGGGGUCCGUUACCGGGGGGAUCGUUUGCUACCUCGAUGUUGAAUUAGCUUAGCGCGUUGACGAAGCAACUGACAAGCGUGGGUCUGUUCGCCCCCUAAGAAGCUACAUGAUUUGA